ACAGGUCUCUGCGAAGUCGUAAGACGAUGUAUAGGGACUGACGCCUGCCCGGUGCCGGAAGGUUAAGGGGAUUUGUUAGUCGUAAGGCGAAGCUUUGAACCGAAGCCCCGGUAAACGGCGGCCGUAACUAUAACGGUCCUAAGGUAGCGAAAUUCCUUGUCGGGUAAGUUCCGACCUGCACGAAUGGCGUAACGAUCCGUGCGCUGUCUCAACGAGGGACUCAGUGAAAUUUCAACACCGGCGCAGAUGCCGGUUACCCGCAGCAAGACGGAAAGACCCCGUGAACCUUCACUAUAACCUGGCAAUGAAUUUUGGCACAUCAUGUGCAGUAUAGGUGGGAGGCGUUGAACCGUAGGCGCUAGCUUACGGGGAGCCAUCGUUGAGAUACCACCCUUGUUGUUUCGAAAUUCUAACUUCAAACCAUGAAUCUGGUUUAGGGACAUUGCCAGGCGGGUAGUUUGACUGGGGCGGUCGCCUCCAAAAAAGUAACGGAGGUGCCCAAAGGUUCCCUCGGCGCGUUUGGAAAUCGCGCUAUGAGUGUAAAGGCAUAAGGGAGCCUGACUGCGAGACAUACAAGUCGAGCAGGUGCGAAAGCAGGGCUUAGUGAUCCGGCGGUUCCGAAUGGAAGGGCCGUCGCUCAACGGAUAAAAGGUACUCCGGGGAUAACAGGCUAGUGAAGCCCAAGAGUUCACAUCGACGGCUUCGCUCGGCACCUCGAUGUCGGCUCGUCGCAUCCUGGGGCUGGAGUCGGUCCCAAGGGUUGGUCUGUUCGCCCAUUAAAGCGGCACGCGAGCUGGGUUUAGAACGUCGCGAGACAGUUCGGUCCCUAUCUGCUGUGGGCGUAGGAGAUUUGAGGGAGGCUGCCCGUAGUACGAGAGGACCCGGGUGGACGAACCUCUGGUGUGCCAGUUGUUUUGCCAAAAGCAUUGCUGGGUAGCUACGUUCGUUAUGGAUAACCGCUGAAAGCAUCUAAGCGGGAAGCCAGUCCCAAGAUUAGAUCUCCCUUCGCGCAAGCGAACUAAAGGCCCCUUGUAGACUACAAGGUUGAUAGGCCAGGUGUGUAAAGACAGUAAUGUCAAAGCUUACUGGUACUAAUAGGCCGUGCGGCUUGGCCAC
rnacentral:rRNA from 1 species